ACAGUCUAAGUAAAGAAUCCUGUUUUAAGAGUGGCAAAUUCAACUCUCCUCCAAAAGUGGACACCAAAUGCUGUCAGACAGGAGAGAGGGUUGUGAGAGAGGAGGAAGACCUGUGACGAAGGCCAUCAGGAUGGGACUCGAACCCUCAGCUGCCACAUCAAGGACUAAGGCCUCUGAAUGGUGUGAUGCAUGUCAGCGGCAUCUGGGCCAACACUGGCAGGACAGUGAUCAGACUGUAACUCUGACAUUGUGCUGUGUGACAGAGGACUCAAGCUGUAUAUCAUGAGAUGACACCUCCUUUGCCUCCCACCAUCUCUUCACAAACAUCAAAUAU